rnacentral:rRNA from 1 species
UACAGAGACUGCAAGCGUUAUUCGGAUUCACUGGGCGUAAAGGGCGCGCAGGCGGUUCGGUGAGUCAGAUGUGAAAUCCCGAGGCUUAACCUCGGAACUGCGUCUGAAACUACUCGACUAGAGUACUGGAGAGGGUAACGGAAUUCACGGUGUAGCAGUGAAAUGCGUAGAUAUCGUGGGGAACACCAGAGGCGAAGGCGGUUACCUGGACAGUUACUGACGCUCAGGCACGAAAGCAUGGGGAGCAAAAGGG